AAGGUAGUUGCUGCUCCCUCCACUAGAAGAGUGGUGUGUAUGUGCCAGAUUCUAGUUGGAUAAAUUGUUCAUGUAACUCGCAGUAGGAACUGGAACAUGGUGUCUGUUCCCAUGACCUAGUCUUCUGGCUACUGCUGUUUUUGCCCUUCUACAAAUGUAUUUAUUGUAUAUGGUUACCUUGUUUUACUGUGUAGAUUGUUAAUUUCUGAUAGUUGGUUUGUGUUUUCUUGGUUAAUUUAGUUGUCGGAUUUAUUUAUCAUCUUUCAUAAACCAAACUUGUGAGUUAAUGAUAUAGUGGAGCUCUUUUUAGUGUUUGUACAGGUGGGCUGUCAUAGGCUUACAGGUGGUGGGUUACUGGGUGGAGGGUUUCCCCCUGUCUGGGUUCUAUGUGCAUGCUUACGUUGCUGUGUAUUCUAACUAUGUGCUUUAUUGUUUUGCAGUGUGUGUGAUCUCUUCUUCCCUGUACCUACUGGUGGUGGUGACCCCCCUUUUCUCUCACUCCCUCAUUCCUGUAGGCCUCCCUGACAGCCCCCCUCCCCCUUGUACUGGUAAUUACCUGUUUAGUGAAUAUAAGUAUAUUUUGGUAAUAAAUCGUAAAUUUUAACCUAUCCCAAAUGGUUUUUUGAGAGUGACAUUAAAUCUGUGUAAAUAAAUGUAGUGGUCGAAACUGGAAA